ensembl:miRNA microRNA 197
GUGCUCCGGGGGCUGUGCCGGGUAGAGAGGGCAGUGGGAGGUAAGAGCUCUUCACCCUUCACCACCUUCUCCACCCAGCAUGGCCGGCAC